UUAGUGUCGACAUGGCAAGUCAACAUUCAAACACGAGCCUUUGAAUCAACUCGCAGCCAUCCCCGAUCCUUUCCCAAACACAACACUCUUGAGUCUUGAGUCUUGACUUCAAUUCUUCGAUUCCCUUCGCAACAAGAACCUUUCGCAUUUCCAGUUUCCCUUCGCCGCUCGAACCCACUCGAAGCCCUCAAUCAAUCAAUCGAUUUUUACUCUUCUAGCUUUCCAGAUUUCUAAUUCGAUCAAGAACCCUAAUUUCCAAAAACCCAGCAAAAAUCUUCUUCUGGCCUUCUUCGAUCACUAACUUGAAAUCCAAUCCCCUUCAGUUUUCCAUUUCGAAACCCCAAUCCUAAGGUGGAACCCGAAGCCUUUGUUCAUCACUUUGGGACUUUGGUAAUGGACCCGAAGCAACUGUAGUUCGUGGGGACGAGAUGAUGGUGGCUUCCAGCCAGUCUGAGGCCGGUGAUGAUAGUGCCCUGUGGUGGAGAAAAUGAUUGGAAAUCAAACACAGGUCCCGAAUCUAAUGAAGGAAUCAAUAUGAAUAAAGUUGGGAAUGAAGACAACCAGCAAGCCAUUGCUUUCUGCAAAUUGAUUGCCUAAAUUAUUGCCGCUUCUCUCAGCUAGUCUGGAUCUGCAAUUUUGAAGCUUUGCUUGUUUUGGACAAUUUAUGUUCUGCUCUUCUUGUUCUUGGUUGAGUUCACAGAUGCUCUGUAUCUCAUCAUCAUUAAGUUAAAUAUCAUGUUUCAUACACAAGUCAUUUUUACUGAAGAUUAUAUCAUUUGAUGACAACUACUGUGGUUAGAUAAUAUCAUUAUUGUUGGUUUUUUUUUCUUUUUCCUUCUUCUCUACUUUAAUUAGUUUCAAGGAAUUGUUGUGUUUUUUCUGCAGCUUUCAUUGGUUUUGAAAUUUUGUUUUCUGUUGGAAACUUAGAUAUUGAUGGAAAGUGGAAACGUAGGUAGGUAUAUGUGAUAUGUGUUUGCUUGC